rnacentral:antisense_RNA from 1 species
CUUGAUGAAGGAGUCAAGGGUGGGGGUAUCACUAGAGGCUGCGGAGGUGGA